GGGGUAACAUAGACACACCCCUGGAGCUCUGAGAGUGUUUAUAGAGCUGUGAGUUUAACACUUCAUGACUGAGAGCAGAACAGAACACAAUCUUCAUCAUCACACAAGACACAACAACAACAAUGAACAACAUCAUCAUCCUCAUCUGGACUCUAACACUGUUUGCUCAAGAGUGUAGAGGACAGUAUACUGUAACUCAGAGUCCAUCAGUAAUAACAGCAGCUCAAGGAAAAGACGUCAGAAUUAACUGUAAAACCAGCAGUUCAGUGUAUGUUGGUAGUUACUUACACUGGUACUUGCAGAAACCUGGAGAAGCUCCUAAACUAAUCAUAUAUUAUGCAACAAGCCGUUACACUGAAACUCCUUCUAGAUUCAGUGGCAGUGGAUCUGGCAGUGAUUUCACUCUGACCAUCAGUGGAGUCCAGACUGAAGAUACAGGAGAUUAUUACUGUAUGAGUGCACACUGUCCCAGUGGCUGGGUGUUCACACAGUGAU